UACGUAGGGUGCGAGCGUUGUCCGGAAUUACUGGGCGUAAAGAGCUCGUAGGUGGUUUGUCGCGUUGUUCGUGAAAAACCGGGGCUUAACCCUCGGCGUGCGGGCGAUACGGGCAGACUUGAGUACUGCAGGGGAGACUGGAAUUCCUGGUGUAGCGGUGGAAUGCGCAGAUAUCAGGAGGAACACCGGUGGCGAAGGCGGGUCUCUGGGCAGUAACUGACGCUGAGGAGCGAAAGCGUGGGGGAGCGAACAGG
rnacentral:rRNA from 1 species